AUUGAACGCUGGCGGCAUGCCUAACACAUGCAAGUCGAACGGAGCGGCGAACGGGUGAGUAAUGCAUAGGAAUGUGCCUGGUAGCGGGGGAUAACGUCCGGAAACGGUAGCUAAUACCGCAUACUAUCAGAGCAGCCGAGGUCGGAUUAGCUAGUUGGUGGGGUAAAGGCCUACCAAGGCGACGAUCCGUAGCUGGUCUGAGAGGAUGAUCAGUCACACUGGGACUGAGACACGGUCCAGACUCCUACGGGAGUGAGGAGUGUGGAAUAUUGGACAAUGGGGGAAACCCUGAUCCAGCCAUGCCGCGUGUGUGAAGAAGGUCUUCGGAUUGUAAAGCACUUUAAGCUGGGAGGCGUUACCAGCAGAAUAAGCACCGGCUAACUUCGUGCCAGCAGCCGCGGUAAUUC
rnacentral:rRNA from 1 species